CGGGAUUGCCUCAGUAACGGCGAGUGAAGCGGCAAGAGCUCAAAUUUGAAAGCUGGCUCCUUCGGGGUCCGCAUUGUAAUUUGCAGAGGAUGCUUCGGGUGCGGCCCCUGUCUAAGUGCCCUGGAACGGGCCGUCAGAGAGGGUGAGAAUCCCGUCUGGGAUGGGGUGUCCGCGCCCGUGUGAAGCUCCUUCGACGAGUCGAGUUGUUUGGGAAUGCAGCUCUAAAUGGGUGGUAAAUUUCAUCUAAAGCUAAAUACUGGCCGGAGACCGAUAGCGCACAAGUAGAGUGAUCGAAAGAUGAAAAGCACUUUGAAAAGAGAGUUAAAAAGCACGUGAAAUUGUUGAAAGGGAAGCGCUUGCGACCAGACUCGCCUCCAGGGUUCAGCCGGCAUUCGUGCCGGUGUACUUCCCUGGGGGCGGGCCAGCGUCGGUUUGGGCGGCCGGUCAAAGGCUCCCGGAAUGUAGUGCCCUCCGGGGCACCUUAUAGCCGGGAGUGCAAUGCGGCCAGCCUGGACCGAGGAACGCGCUUCGGCACGGACGCUGGCAUAAUGGUCGUAAACGACCC
rnacentral:rRNA from 1 species